UACGAAGGGGGCUAGCGUUGCUCGGAAUCACUGGGCGUAAAGGGUGCGUAGGCGGGUCUUUAAGUCAGGGGUGAAAUCCUGGAGCUCAACUCCAGAACUGCCUUUGAUACUGAGGAUCUUGAGUUCGGGAGAGGUGAGUGGAACUGGCGAGUGUAGAGGUGAAAUUCGUAGAUAUUAGGAGGAACACCGGUGGCGAAGGCGGCUAUCUGGACGACAACUGACGCUGAGGCGCGAAAGCGUGGGGAUCAAACAGG
rnacentral:rRNA from 1 species